AUACGUAGGUGGCAAGCGUUGUCCGGAUUUAUUGGGCGUAAAGCGAGCGCAGGUCGGAAGUUCUGAUGUGAAAGCCUUCGGCUCAACCGAAGAAGUGCAUCGGAAACUGGGAAACUUGAGUGCAGAAGAGGACAGUGGAACUCCAUGUGUAGCGGUGAAAUGCGUAGAUAUAUGGAAGAACACCAGUGGCGAAGGCGGCUGUCUGGUCUGUAACUGACGCUGAGGCUCGAAAGUAUGGGUAGC
rnacentral:rRNA from 1 species